rnacentral:rRNA from 1 species
AGGACGAACGCUGGCGGCGUGCUUAACACAUGCAAGUCGAGCGGAAAGGCCCUUCGGGGUACUCGAGCGGCGAACGGGUGAGUAACACGUGAGUAACCUGCCCCUAGCUCUGGGAUAGCUCCGGGAAACCGGGAUUAAUACCAGAUACGACCACUUUAGACAUCUGUCGUGGUGGAAAGGAUUCCGGCUAGGGAUGGGCUCGCGGCCUAUCAGCUUGUUGGUGGGGUAACGGCCUACCAAGGCGACGACGGGUAGCCGGCCUGAGAGGGCGACCGGCCACACUGGGACUGAGACACGGCCCAGACUCCUACGGGAGGCAGCAGUGGGGAAUAUUGCGCAAUGGGCGAAAGCCUGACGCAGCGACGCCGCGUGGGGGAUGAAGGCCUUCGGGUUGUAAACCCCUUUCAGCAGGGACGAAGCGAAAGUGACGGUACUGCAGAAGAAGCGCCGGCUAACUACGCGCCAGCAGCCGC